AUUGAACGCUGGCGGCAUGCCUUACACAUGCAAGUCGAACGGUAACAGGUUAAGCUGACGAGUGGCGAACGGGUGAGUAAUACAUCGGGACGUGCCCAGUCGUGGGGGAUAACUAUCCGAAAGGAUAGCUAAUACCGCAUACGAUCUGCGGAUGAAAGCGGGGGACCUUCGGGCCUCGCGCGAUUGGAGCGGCCGGUGUCAGAUUAGGUAGUUGGUGGGGUAAAGGCUUACCAAGCCAACGAUCUGUAGCUGGUCUGAGAGGACGACCAGCCACACUGGGGCAGAGGACCAGCCCAGAGUCCUACGGGAGGCAGAAGUGGGGAAUGUUGGACAAUGGGCGCAAGCCUGAUUCAGCAAUGCCGCGUGCAGGAAGAAGGCCUUCGGGUUGUAAACUGCUUUUGUACGGAACGAAACGGUCCUGGUUAAUACCCGGGGCUAAUGACGGUACCGUAAGAAUAAGCACCGGCUAACUACGUGCCAGCAGCCGCCGUAACAC
rnacentral:rRNA from 1 species